AGCACAGAGCCCGAUGCGGGGUCGAACCCACAAACGGUGUCACUUGCCCUUUCUAUAUUUUCGGUUUGGAAAGUCGAUGACAGUCAGAACGCUGGUCUCCUCGAGGAAGAGAAAACCAAGUCGAGCUGGUCUGUCCCAGCUCCAGUAACGCAGCUGCGGCCCCUCCACGGAACCACAGGACGCGCCUCUCUCUGUCUCUGUCUUGGCCGUCAGCGGCCUCCCUCGGGGCCGGCGUGGCUCUGGUCCUUCCAGGCACCACAUCCAGACAGGGCAACUUCCAGAGGGAGAGGGGGACGUUGUCCCGCGGCACCUCCCCCUCAAGCGUGAGGGGUGUGCCGCGGACCCUGGGGUGUGCACCCGGGCACUUCUUUUCAGGAGGGGAACCUCACUUUCCAGCUGCCCAGAGUGUUGACCGGUGAGGUCUCACCGCCCAGGCCCUCCCCAGGGAUCGCACUUGUCCGAGGGGGGCCCCGUUUCUCGACAGCCUGCCCCUCCCUGGGUCCGAGCCCUGGGACGUCCCAUCCGCAGUGACUGGCCCAGGGGAUAGACUGGCAUCUGUGCUUCCCACCCUGCCUGAUCUUGUUUUCCUCUCUCCUCCGCGGGUUUCGUACUUGGGAGCACUCCCCGAUAAACCUCUUGUGCACAAAACUCGGUUUCGGAAUCUCCCUCCCACGGAACUCACUCGGAAAGAAUUCGCACGAGGAGCGGUCCUGAGAAGCUGAUUUACAACACCGUUCGGGGCAGAGACCCCCUGGCCCCCAGCUGGCCACGAGGACCCACCCGUGGGACUGGCCCUUGCGGGUCUGUGGCAGUGCGGUUGGGAGAAGCGUUACCAGUGACAAAGUAGAACAGAGGAACCAGGGGAGAGAGUGCAGGGCAGCUCGCCUCUCCCGUCCUCCUGGCCGCCAGACCAGUGACGGGGGUCAGGCACAGGUCACGCAUGAGCCUGAUGGAAUCAGCCGCCACCAACCAAGGCUGACACGGCUUCUGUCGCCGCAGAAACCUGCCUGAUGCUUGAACACGGCGUAUCCCUCAGACGAACCUGCCGCUUGGUGGCGAGUUCAUUACGUUGGAUCCCUUCCACCCUCGAAGGGGACAAACUCAUCUUGACUGAAAUGGACUUCUAUUCUAGUUAAAGGUUUGACUUCCUCGUCUGUGAAGCCUCAGCUUCGGAUGCCUUACCGAAAAGUCUCAGACCGAGGGGCCCUCUUGACAACAGGCGAGGUGCCUUGGCGGUGGGCACACAAGCGUGGCAAGGCUUGGCACUCGCCGCAUCACCGGGAGCAGAUGGCCCGAUGGAACCGUCACAAAGGCUCGGGAAGGCCCAGCAGGGGUACCAGCUCGGACAUGACGCCCUGCAGGGAUGGGGCGCCACCCUCCAGGACGCAUAAUCGGUGCGCGGCGCUGGGUCCCCGGCGGUUGGAGCACGUGUCUGGGAACCAAGGGGGAUAGCAAGCACGCACCUGUUCGCCAUGAGUCCCGUGGCCCACCUGGGGAGUAGUCUGGGUUUCUGUUCCCAGCACCUUCAGGUUGUGUGGUUCUGGGCAUCGUAUUCCCAGAGGAGAGGUGUCCACCCGGGGUCAUAGCACCCCGGCAGGGUCGCUGGCCCUGACCGUCAGGAGGUAGGCUGCUUCACGUGUGGAGGCGGGCAGAAACAAAGUAUGUACCCGGGGCAUCCCCUGGGGCGCCACUGGGUGCUGCCUCACCUAACUUUGAUGGCAGGUAGACAGACGUGGCACCCGUGGCCCCAGCAGGUCUUGGCGGGAGAAGCUCAAACCCUCAGGGAAGCGGGUCUGGGUCACUGCACGGCGCCUGGCCCUCGGACUGGCAGAGGUGGUAGCUGGGAGCGGGGGCGGGGGGUCUCGGAUGGCUCGUGGAGGAGGGAGAUUUAAGUAUCGGUUGUGGCUGGGAGGCAAGUCGCAGCGUCUGGACUACGGCACCUCCCGCCGAUUUUCUUGGGGCAUUUUCCCCAGGAGGGAGAUAAGCCGGAGAACACGGGAGUCCCGGCUCCCGGGUGGGUGGGUUACUACAUGAGCUAGUGAUCUGAGCCGUGCCGGGCACAGUGUCGUAGACGGUCGUGGGCGUCCCGACGACCCCGUGUGACCGAGGCUCUCCUUCUGUGCUGCCUGUGGCUCACCGCCCAGAAAGGGGUCACGAAGCCGGUGGUGCCCGCUCCCCGGGGACAGCCCACAGCAGUGACCGGGUGGCCUCCGAGGGCUCACCUCAGUCACACAGCGCCCCUGGGGUUGCCUGAGGUCUGUGUGAGGACUGCACCCCGGCCGAACUCCCCGGGGCCAGUUCUGACUCCCUCACUUUCUCGUAGUUGCUGUUCCCAAGAACGCUCCUCGAUAAAUCACCUGCACACGAGCCUCCCUCCCUGAGUUCUUUUCCAGGGAACCCGCCGAAGCCAUAACUCGUGCCCGGAAAUGUCCCCAAGGCAGCACCUCUCCAGCCUGACUGGAUAGAAUUGAGUGUUGCGCCUGUGCAACUGAUCAUUUGGGGGUGGGAGGGAUGUCGGGGACAACCAAAUGGCCACUCUCCGUGGGAUGUGGGGAGUUGGUGACCAGCACGUAGACCUCCCAGAGAUGCCCCCAGAGCUGCGUCUGCACAGAGAUGGGCAGGAUGGGGUGCUUGUGGCACGGAGCCUGCGGGCUGGCACCUGCUUCCCGGAGGAACAGAGCAGCAGCUGCUAUGGUCAGCGUGUGACACAAGGCUCUCUGGCCUGGCCCCAUUUCGGAAGCCCCAAAACACGUGUGGGGGGAUGUUGGCAUUUCUAAGGGCUAUCGUCACCCUCUGUAAAAAUUAACCUCAAAUCUUCGGUGCUUUCUUUUGUGAAGGACUUCCAUUACAUUUAAUUCGAAAAGUCCCAGGCAAACCCCGGGCUCGGGGCUCCUUCUGAAUGAGAACUUGACUCUCGCGUUGGGAUUCUAAGGGCACGGAGCGGGCAGUACUGCGUGUACCCUGGGACUCGAGUUCGAAGGAUGUAAUAACAGUUGUAGGAAAAUAAAGCAAGGGAUCUGCGGCCAAGUACAUUCGGAAAUGGCGUGGUUGACAAGGGAGAGAGGUCUCUCUUUUCCACGGGCUCUCGUCGCUACCUGUCCCACACAGCCCUGGGUGGGGGGGGGGGGACUGCCGGUGACCUCAGGGCACCUCUGGUGGCCACGGCGGUGUUCUCUUUUUGCAAGUUUGCAAGUGCUUAUCAGCAACUGCCGGCACGCAGCCUGGCGCGGGCUGCGCGGGCCAUUCUCCCCGUGGUGCACAACACGAUUGAGUUUUGUACCCCCGGUGUGAGCAGGAGAACCCCGGAGUAACAGAAACCCCCACCAGGUACUUCCUGCCAGAUGGUGGGUUUGCAGCUCUCCUGGCUGCCUUCCCUUUCCCAGCCUGGGAUCCGAAUCAAAGGAUCCUUCGUUCAAUUCCAUGCCCACCGGUGUUCUCUCUCAGAGCCAAGGAGAACUGUGGCUGAGUCACAGCCGGCAUGAGAAACUCCUGCUGACUCAGUUCGAGUAACCUCCGUGAACGGGGCUCUCACUUCUCGCCAGGACACGCUGCCCGGAAUGCCUGCCAGAGCCUCUAUUUUAGGUCACGGAAAUAGCCCCCAAGUGCAAACAAGGCUACAAGGUUGGUUCUAGAUGUCUCGUGACCUGAGAACGCCCCGUGUUGCCCAAUGCGCUACCCGUCCUCUCGGAUCUGGUCCCAGGAUGUUAUUUCGAGCAAGGUCUUGUAACUGCUGGCUUGGAGGGGGGGGGCUCUAGCGUGUCCCCGGUGCCCCCGGUUUUGCACCUGCCGGGGAGUGCCGAUCGAAGCCCGUCUCCAAGGCACACGGGGAGGGAAACCGAAGGAGCUGCUUCCUUCCUCUUGCUCAUGCACAGUGGCUGGCGCACAGCGGGAGUCACACGGUGAGGUGUCAGCGUGCUGAGGCCCAGCAGAACUGGUACUGACAAGCAAACAAGAGCCACACGCAGGGAAAGCACAGAAUGUCUCUGGGCAUCCUCUCCCACAAAAAUACAGUCCUGCUGGAAGUGGUCACGAAGCUAAGGUGAAUGUUUUCGAGGAGACAGACACGAAGACCUUCCCAGUGUCAGUGAACGAGCUGGGGACACGGGGCCUGGAUGACCAGGUACUGAGUGCCCCAGGGCUCGGUGCUGGAAAGCAUGAGCAGACAAUCCCUGCAAUUCCCACCCCCAACCCCCAAGAGGUCACCUACAGGAAGAGGGAGACUGGAGUCGUGACCACAAACCACACUCUAACCUGGAUCUACAGAAGGCCGUGAGUUCAUCUGAAGAUUACUUCCCCAUAUGUUUUUUUCCUACUACUUUUUGCAAGUGUAAAAGAUAGUUCCAGAAUAAAAAAAAAUCCAGUGGACAGUCUACAGAAUCCCACGGUAUCCUAAAAUUUUACCAAACAACAGAUAUAUGCCUACUUGGCCUUGAGCCAAGUAAAUUGUGCAUGCGAGGUCACCUUCCAGACGAAGGUGUCCAUCAUUAGGUAGUGUCAGAGCGGUGCCCCUGGCCCGUGCCUACGUGUGUGGACGGAAUGUUUGCACGCCCCCAUCCAUACGUGAAAGCCCAACCCCCAAGUUAAAUGCAGCCACAAGGGUGGGGUCUUGACCCAAUAGGAUUAGUGUCCUUACACAAAGAGAAACCAGAGAACUCUCUCUCUCUGUCUCCAUGCUCACAAGAGAGGUCAUGUGAGCACAUCGCGGCAGCCACCUAUGAGCUCAGGGAAUGAAACGUACCUUCCAGCCUCCGGAACCAUAAGAAACCAGUCUCUGCCGUGGAAGCUGCCCAGUCUUACCGCCCGGUGGUAUUUUGUCAUGUGGCCGGGACAGACUAAUGCAAGCAUAUCUCGCACCACCCACAUGGUGCCUGGAGUGCUAACAGUGAAUAUACAGACUCUGAUCAUAGAUUUGUCAUUUACCAAUUGCUUGCUAUGUGCUUGACAUUGUUGGUCACCUUGGCCUUUACUUAUUGCCCCUUGUGUUAUGGUGUUGUUCCUUCCCUUUUAUUUUUUUUUAAUUAAAAUUUUUUUCCAAUGUUUA